GAUGAAGAACGUAGCGAAAUGCGAUACUUGGUGUGAAUUGCAGAAUCCCGUGAACCAUCGAGUCUUUGAACGCAAGUUGCGCCCGAAGCCACUAGGCCGAGGGCACGCCUGCCUGGGCGUCACACGUCGUUGCCCCCCCAUCUACUCCUUCGGGAUUGCGGGGGGGCGGAUGAUGGCCUCCCGUGCGCCUAGCCGCGCGGUUGGCAUAAAUACCAAGUCCUCGGCGACGCACGCCACGACAAUCGGUGGUUGCGAAACCUCGGUUGCCCGUCGUGUGCGUUCGUCGCGCAUCGAGGGCUCGAAAAAAUGCUCGGCUUCGGCUCGGCUUUCAACGCGACCCCAGGUCAGGCGGGGUUACCCGCUGAAUUUAAGCAUAUCAAUAAGCGAGGA
rnacentral:misc_RNA from 1 species